rnacentral:tRNA from 1 species
GCGCAAGUAGCUCAGUUGGUCAGAGCAAGAAGGUUCACCCACCUUUGGUGUCGUGGGUUCGAGUCCCACCUUGCGCCCCA